GGAUGACGUCAAGUCAGCAUGGNCCUUAUGCCUAGGGCUACACACACGCUACAAUGGGUGGUACAAUUGGUUGCAAUGGAGCAAUCCGGAGCCAAUCCGUAAAGCCAUCCUCAGUUCGGAUUACAGGCUGAAACUCGCCUGUAUGAAGUUGGAGUUGCUAGUAACCGCAGGUCAGCAUACUGCGGUGAAUACGUUCUCGGGCCUUGUACACACCGCCCGUGGGGCGGGGGCGGCGGGCCGGGCGCGGGGCGCGGCGGGCG
rnacentral:rRNA from 1 species